UUGUUCGGUUACCAACAUUGUUCAUAAAUAUCUUCUUUUGUGUUCUCCAAAAGAAAGUUAAGGUCUUUGCACAUACAGUCCGAAAUUUUCGUAUGCGUUUUUUCGUAUUUGGCUCUCGUUUGUACGGUGUCUCUGAAUUGUUAUAAAAGGCCACUCAAAAUGCUUGACGGAUGCGAAAAACGCAGAAAAUCGAACCCGGUCCGAAUUUUUUUAUGACGGACGAAAAUAUCGGAGGCAGCGUCUAAAUGUGAUUUACACAACGUGAGGUCGUAUUUAUUUUUUAACGUGCGGAAAUUUCGGACGCAAAUUUCGGACUCAAUGUGCAAUGGGCUUAAGUCAUGUUUGGGUUAGGAAUGACAUGAGGGUGAAUAAAUGACGAAAUCAUUUUUGUCUGAACUGUCCCUUUAAAAAACAAGUCCAAUCAGGACAGAGUUCAUCUCAAAUCUCAACGACCUCACAGCAGGUUUGAAUGCUUGUUUUCAUUUAUAACAGAGUGUUGGGUCACAUCAAGAACACAAAACAGAUGGGAUGAGCUCCAGCGGAAAGACAGCAACUGGAUUUAGGGUCGGCCGAUGACAGACACAUGACAAAUAACGUUCAGUGCAGAGCAGCUGUAGAGCACCAUGACACAACACACAAUUGACCGGUUCUGUUCUGUUCACACUGAAUUCACUCUGCAGAGGUGUGUGUUAGUAUCUGUGGACGGACGCUCACUUUGGUGGUGUUGAGUUUGCCGUGGUGAAGCUGAAGAACCUUCAGGGCCGCCUGAAGAUUGGCUUGUGGCUCACACAGCUACGACAACACUAUCAAGCUCAAGUCCCUUUGAAUGCCAGUUCCAGGAACAAGACUCAGACGCUUCAUCUUAUUGGUUGCCAAAGGAACAGGAACAAAGGAGCAUGGCUUGGACGAAUUGGGUGACCGUUUUAUAGUUAGGAGAAACAGGGUAGCGGGGUCUUAUGUACGUGUCACACUCUGGUUUCCUCUCUGACUGACUCUGAGGUCAACCAGCGACCUCCUCAUCGGGGGAUUUGGGUCCAGUGUCACCUGCCUGACUGGUCACCUGGGCCUCCACGACAGUUACUGGAGGGUCAGAGUCAUCAGCCCUAAGGUCAGCU